UACGUAGGGCGCAAGCGUUGUCCGGAAUUAUUGGGCGUAAAGAGCUCGUAGGCGGCCUGUUGCGUCCGCUGUGAAAUCCCCGGGCUCAACCCGGGAACUGCGUCCGAUACUGGCAGGCUUGAAUCCGGGAGAGGGAUGUGGAAUUCCAGGUGUAGCGGUGAAAUGCGUAGAUAUCUGGAGGAACACCGGUGGCGAAGGCGGCAUCCUGGACCGGCAUUGACGCUGAGGCGCGAAAGCCAGGGGAGCAAACGGG
rnacentral:rRNA from 1 species